GUGCCCGCUUUGGCUGCCCAUACACUAAAAUUGGACCAGUUCAGAGAAGAUUAGCACGGCGCCUGUGCAAGCAUGGGACACACAUCCGUGAAGAGUUCCAUGUUCAC